CUCUCUCUCUCUCUAUCUCUCUCCAAAGAAAACAAUUGGAACUUGGACCACAAUAAAAGAAGUUGCAAAAAAAAUAUUUGAGAAUAUCCAAAGUCCAAAGUCUCCUACCAGAAUGAAGGAGGUUAUUUGAUGGGGAAAGAUGCAUAAUUUCUAUAUCAUUUAGGCGUCUGGAAAUAUGAGAAUUCCAAUAGAGUUGUAAGAGGAAGCUAGAAAAUUGUGCACUAGGGGGAGCAGAUAGGUCUUAUUCGUAAGAUUUUCACUGAACCACCAUCAUUUAUGCUAGUUCUGGUGUUGCAUAAUGGACAGCUGAACUGCUCAUACAAUGUUAUUCUUAGAGGGCAAAGGUUUUAAGCAGUUAUGCCAAUAAGGUUGUCAAUGAAUAUGAUCUAGCUAUCUGGCUUGUCAUCAGUAACUGCUUGUAGUGGGUGGAGAGUUGGUGAAAUUCCUUUGGCAGUAAUGGUUCAAUAAUAAGUGUGGAUAGAUUGACACCCUGAUAAUCGUUUAUCAAGUCUUUGGUUUCAUUCUGUGCUGGAGAAAAAUAUUAGAGAAUUUUGAGUUAAUGUUGGAGGUCUUUUUAACUGAUCUUCUUAAUUUAGUUUGUACAUAAGGACUUAUCCUAAUUGUGGAAGUGCAUUUUUGUCUGUUUAAGGCUAAAUCCCAUACAAAGCUCAAACAAGUUCUAGUCAGUUUUGGUCAAGCUCAGCUUUGUUGAGCUAGACAAGAACAAAAAUUUUAAAUAAUUAAGGCUGAAUAUUAGGCAAAAACAAAUACUUGGGGCCACAUUAAAUUUAUAAAAAUAUAAAUGAACUCUGAAAUGGGUUGAAAAUGAUCUUGUUAUGAAUGUUAUCAAGCCAACUUCAUGUUUAUUCAUUUACUAGGCAAGCUUCUAAUUUCUGUUACUUCACAAUCGGACAAACAAAUUUUUUGAGCUCAUUCAUGAGCGUUUCAGUAAACGUACUAGUUUGUGGUACCCUCAACCAAAAUAAAUGAGUUUCAACAUUUGAAGGAUCGUGAUUUUGGUAUGAUUAGUACUUUGUCCCUUCUUUAAUAGAUGAGUGCUAAAUGAAGUAGGACAAAAGCAUUAAAUAAGGCUAGAACAAAUUUAAACAUAAAACAUCCUAGAAUCCACAAUGAAAAUAAAUUCUAGUCCGCCAGUGUAAAAUAGCUUAAAUUUUAUUUUAAUUUGACAAUCUCCCCAACUAGCACAUAAGAUGCUUAUAUGAUUAAAAAUCCUAGUUUUAUGUGGCCAAGUUUAUUAAAAUAGGAAUUCUGAAAUUACUUGAAAUAUUAAGAAAUUAAAAUCUUAGGGCUGAUUUUGUAUCCAUUCUAUUUUUGGUUUUUGUUGUCCGAUUGUCAAAGAAAUUUAUAUAAAUAA
rnacentral:misc_RNA from 1 species